UUGUGACACCACCUGCUUCUCAGAUAUUCCUUCAGUACAUCUAGGGUUUGUAACUGGCCUUUAAUUCAGAGUAAACAGCCAUUUUUUAGGGAGAGCAAAGAGGAUGAAAGGAUCCGAGAUGAGGAGAAGGAAGCUGCCCUUCUGUCAUGGUAUAAAAAAGGAAGAAAUACAUGGUCCACUGGAGAGCUCAGUGAAUCCUGGGAACCUAUUGAGGUUGAUGUUUAACUGGACCUCAAGCCAUUCCUCUCACUGCCCAUCCUCCUAAGUAUGAUGUAUGGCCUGAAGAAAUAAUCAUGGUGGGAACACAGCUUUUCUGAUGUCUGGAAAUUUUUGGAUAAACUAAGGAUUUGGAAGUUCAUCAUUGGAAGUAGGUACAUAAUAUUUACAUUUUUAUAUUCAACGUUAGGUGGGACCCUUGGGUUGCCAAAAUCAUUGCAAAAAAACAUGAAAUUGGAAAACAGAAUUUUUCACUUCACAUUCAGGAAUAUAUAAAGUCACCUAUCAAGGAAUGUACAAUGAGAAACUGUAAUGAAAUAUGAAUUCAAUUAAAGGAUUGUAGGGAAAAUGCUGGCCUUUGGGAAACAGAGAUAACCUAGGAUAUUGAACUGUAUGUCAUAGUAAUGGACCUGGUAAUAAAAUUAUUAUCCAGAGGAAUCUCUUCCACUCCAUGUUCCGAGAUCUUUUCUACCCAUGCAAAGCUCCUGAUUAUCUUUUCCUUUCAGAGCAUGUAACCACUAAGGAAAUAAAGAGAAGAUUCUAGCUUUAAAGACAUGUAGUAUGAAAAGGUUUCCAUUGUUUCACAGGAGACAAACCUUGCAAGGGCACCCUCGAAUCUGGUCAUUGAAAGGAAAACACUUUAGCAGGUAGGCCAUGGCAAUUCUCAGUGACAUCACCAUUAGGCCUAUCUAAAAAAAUCUGUUGUAUCCUGGAGAUCCCUAGUUUCUUCUGUGAUGUAACAAGUGUUGUCCUGACAGAAGUUGCCUCUCCAGUAGUCCUUCAGUACCUCCAGGGUUUACUA